UGCGUAGGCGGUGAGAUAAGAUAGAUGUGAAAUCCCCGGGCUUAACUCGGGUAUUGCAUUUGUGACUGUCUUGCUAGAGUGCAGGAGAGGAAAGCGGAAUUCCUAGUGUAGCGGUGAAAUGCGUAGAUAUUAGGAGGAACACCGGUGGCGAAGGCGGCUUUCUGGACUGUAACUGACGCUGAAGCACGAAAGCGUGGGGAGCAAACA
rnacentral:rRNA from 1 species